GACGAAGGGGGGCUAGCGUUGUUCGGAAUUACUGGGCGUAAAGCGCGUGUAGGCGGUUGCCCAAGUCGGAUGUGAAAGCCUUGAGCUCAACUCAAGAAAUGCAUUCGGUACUGGGUGACUAGAGGACCGGAGAGGAUAGUGGAAUUCCCAGUGUAGUGGUGAAAUACGUAGAGAUUGGGAAGAACACCAGUGGCGAAGGCGGCUAUCUGGACGGUUUCUGACGCUAAGACGCGAAAGCGUGGGGAGCAAACAGG
rnacentral:rRNA from 1 species